UAAACCCUACGGGGGGCAGCAGUGAGGAAUAUUGGUCAAUGGGCGGAAGCCUGAACCAGCCAAGUCGCAUGAGGGAAUAAGGCCCUACGGGUCGUAAACCUCUUUUGCCGGGGAGCAAAGCGAACCACGUGUGGUUCAUUGAGAGUACCCGAAGAAAAAGCAUCGGCUAACUCCGUGCCAGCAGCCGCGGUAAUACGGAGGAUGCGAGCGUUAUCCGGAUUUAUUGGGUUUAAAGGGAGCGUAGAUGGGUUGUUAAGUCAGUUGUGAAAGUUUGCGGCUCAACCGUAAAAUUGCAAUUGGUACUG
rnacentral:rRNA from 1 species